rnacentral:rRNA from 1 species
UUCAGCGAGGUACACUCCCAACCCAAUGUGACGUUACCAAACUGUUGCCUCGGCGGGAUCUCUGCCCCGGGUGCGUCGCAGCCCCGGACCAAGGCGCCCGCCGGAGGACCAACCAAAACUCUUUUUGUAUACCCCCUCGCGGGUUUUUUAUAAUCUGAGCCUUCUCGGCGCCUCUCGUAGGCGUUUCGAAAAUGAAUCAAAACUUUCAACAACGGAUCUCUUGGUUCUGGCAUCGAUGAAGAACGCAGCGAAAUGCGAUAAGUAAUGUGAAUUGCAGAAUUCAGUGAAUCAUCGAAUCUUUGAACGCACAUUGCGCCCGCCAGUAUUCUGGCGGGCAUGCCUGUCCGAGCGUCAUUUCAACCCUCGAACCCCUCCGGGGGGUCGGCGUUGGGGAUCGGCCCUGCCUCUUGGCGGUGGCCGUCUCCGAAAUACAGUGGCGGUCUCGCCGCAGCCUCUCCUGCGCAGUAGUUUGCACACUCGCAUCGGGAGCGCGGCGCGUCCACAGCCGUUAAACACCCAACUUCUGAAAUGUUGACCUCGGAUCAGGUAGGAAUACCCGCUGAACUUACCGCAGGCACUACUACGGAG